AAAAAAAAAAAAAAAAAAUGAUAGUGGCAAUAAUAUUGGACAUUUUUAUCCAUCUAAGAUAAAAUGAUAAGGAUGUAAUGAAUUUUAAAAAAAAUAAUAAUUAUUGAGUGAUAAAUUAUGUAUUGGAUUAAACAUGUUAAUUUUGAAAUGGUUAAAGUUUCGUAUAUUCUACGGGAUUAAAUCUAUGGGACUUAAAAGAAGUAAAUCCAU
rnacentral:misc_RNA from 1 species